rnacentral:sRNA from 1 species
UAUUCUGCCCUACGGGGAAGGAUGAGAAGCUUCGACUAAGGUUCGACUCGAGCGAAGCGAGAGAACGUUGCCGCAGGCAACGGCCCGAAGGGCGAAGCGCUUUAGCGCCGAGUAAUCCUUCCCCCACCACUG